rnacentral:rRNA from 1 species
CCUACGGGAGGCAGCAGUAAGGAAUAUUGGUCAAUGGAGGGAACUCUGAACCAGCCAUGCCGCGUGCAGGAAGACAGCCCUCUGGGUCGUAAACUACUUUUAUUCGGGAAUAAACCACACUACGUGUAGUGUGCUGAAUGUACCGAAGGAAUAAGGAUCGGCUAACUCCGUGCCAGCAGCCGCGGUAAU